GGCAGCAUGUUGUAGUGGUUUGGACAUUGGACUACAACUCUGAAGACCAGGGUUCAAAUCCCUGCUCAGCUA